rnacentral:rRNA from 1 species
GAUGAACGCUGGCGGCGUGCCUAAUACAUGCAAGUCGAGCGAACAGACGAGGAGCUUGCUCCUCUGACGUUAGCGGCGGACGGGUGAGUAACACGUGGAUAACCUACCUAUAAGACUGGGAUAACUUCGGGAAACCGGAGCUAAUACCGGAUAAUAUAUUGAACCGCAUGGUUCAAUAGUGAAAGACGGUUUUGCUGUCACUUAUAGAUGGAUCCGCGCCGCAUUAGCUAGUUGGUAAGGUAACGGCUUACCAAGGCAACGAUGCGUAGCCGACCUGAGAGGGUGAUCGGCCACACUGGAACUGAGACACGGUCCAGACUCCUACGGGAGGCAGCAGUAGGGAAUCUUCCGCAAUGGGCGAAAGCCUGACGGAGCAACGCCGCGUGAGUGAUGAAGGUCUUCGGAUCGUAAAACUCUGUUAUUAGGGAAUAACAAAUGUGUAAGUAACUAUGCACGUCUUGACGGUACCUAAUCAGAAGGCCACGGCUAACUACGUG